UAAUAACUUAACAAUUGAUUGUAGAAAACGCAUUAUUUUAGUUGCGCAAACUCUAGUAUCUAUCUUUGUUCAAGGAUUUCAGCACAAGAAUAUGACAAGCUCUGGCAAUCAAACGUGUGCACAUACUAUGACAAAAGGCACCAACACUUACGAAUCAGACAGCAUGGCUUCUUAUCAAAAAAGCAUUUCAGGUAUCUUAGAGAAUUUAAGGACUCAACUUGAGGAUUUACAUCAACAGAUUGAACAUCAAAAAACACAUCGACAAUAAUAG
rnacentral:misc_RNA from 1 species